AGUGAACGCUGGCGGUAGGCCUAACACAUGCAAGUCGAACGGCAGCACAGUAAGAGCUUGCUCUUACGGGUGGCGAGUGGCGGACGGGUGGGGAAUACAUCGGAAUCUACUUUUUCGUGGGGGAUAACGUAGGGAAACUUACGCUAAUACCGCAUACGACCUACGGGUGAAAGCAGGGGAUCUUCGGACCUUGCGCGAUUGAAUGAGCCGAUGUCGGAUUAGCUAGUUGGCGGGGUAAAGGCCCACCAAGGCGACGAUCCGUAGCUGGUCUGAGAGGAUGAUCAGCCACACUGGAACUGAGACACGGUCCAGACUCCUACGGGAGGCAGCAGUGGGGAAUAUUGGACAAUGGGCGCAAGCCUGAUCCAGCCAUACCGCGUGGGUGAAGAAGGCCUUCGGGUUGUAAAGCCCUUUUGUUGGGAAAGAAAAGCAGCAGGUUAAGACCCCGCUGUUCUGACGGUACCCAAAGAAUAAGCACCGGCUAACUUCGU
rnacentral:rRNA from 1 species